UGUGACGAAAACUUUCGUAAUGGCUAGUUUUUAGUUCUUUUUGACAGUAUUUAAUGCUCUUUUAAUGAUCUCCAACGACUCUAUUUCAGCCCAGAUUUAUCUCUACUAUCUAUUGAAGCUAUAAAGACACUUAAAGGAGGAAAAAAGAAAAAAAAAUUUUUAAGCAUUCAUUUCACCCCUAAGCAAAAAGACCUCUUCAAGCAAAAGAAGCUUUCAAUUCAAGUUUACCAACCCCUCAAG
rnacentral:lncRNA from 1 species